AUUUGGGUACAGCAAGAAGGAAACUGGGAAAAGAGAUGAAAUAGGCAAUUGUUUUGAGCAGGAGAUGAAUGACAACCAAAAAGAUGAAGUCAUUUGCGAGGGAAGCAAAAAUAUGAAGUGGUCUGCCAGUGAUAUGUUACAGGCUUCAUGUCACCAUUGAAUAUCCAAACAGUGAAGCCACAGUAAAACUUAGAGGAAAACAAGCUGAACAGUUAUUCGGAAUAACUUGCAAAGAACACUUGAACAAGUGCCCCUA